CAAUAGCGUAUAUUAAAGUUGUUGCAGUUAAAAAGCUCGUAGUUGGAUUUCUGGUUGAAGCGACCGGUCGGGCGUUGAUUCGUCUGCACUGGAGUCGGUUUUGGCCAUCCUCUAGGAAAGUGCGUCUGGUAUUAAGUUAUCGGGCGUAUGAUCCUGGUCUUUUACUGUGAAAAAAUUAGAGUGUUUAAAGCAGGCCUUCGCCUUGAAUACAUUAGCAUGGAAUAAUAAGAUAGGACUUUGGUCUAUUUUGUUGGUUUGCAGACCGAAGUAAUGAUUAAUAGGGAUAGUUGGGGGUAUUUAUAUUCCAAUGUCAGAGGUGAAAUUCUUAGAUUUUCGGAAGAUAAACUUAUGCGAAAGCAUUUACCAAGGAUGUUUUCAUUAA
rnacentral:rRNA from 1 species